GAUGAACGCUAGCUACAGGCUUAACACAUGCAAGUCGAGGGGUAACGAGAGGGAAGCUUGCUUUCCUUGUCGACGACCGGCGCACGGGUGAGUAACGCGUAUCCAACCUGCCCCCAACUAGGGAAUAACCUUGCGAAAGUAAGACUAAUACCCUAUAAUUUCCUCAGAUGUCAUCUGACGAGGAAGAAAGAUUUAUCGGUUGUGGAUGGGGAUGCGCCUGAUUAGCUUGUUGGCGGGGUAACGGCCCACCAAGGCAACGAUCAGUAGGGGUUCUGAGAGGAAGGUCCCCCACAUUGGAACUGAGACACGGUCCAAACUCCUACGGGAGGCAGCAGUGAGGAAUAUUGGUCAAUGGGCGGAAGCCUGAACCAGCCAAGUAGCGUGCAGGAUGACGGCCCUAUGGGUUGUAAACUGCUUUUAUACAGGAAUAAAGUUAGCCACGUGUGGUUAUUUGUAGGUACUGUAUGAAUAAGGACCGGCUAAUUCCGUGCCAGCAGCCGCGGUAA
rnacentral:rRNA from 1 species